GGGAAGACUCCAGAAUCCACUCUGGCUGGAAUCCGGUGGAUACAGCAGUGUUACAGAACAGUUCUCCACAGUCACUGUCCACAUGGGUCAGUGGGACCAAGCAGCACUCUGCUAAUGUGUGGACUCACAGCAACAUCCAGCAAGACCCAGGCAGCGUUUUCUAUCUCCCAGCUGGAGUUUUUUGUUUGUCUGUGACUGGAGAGUCAGAUUUUUGUUGAAGCUGGAGGAACAGAGAGGUUAAUACACUCUACUGAUCCCUGAUGGGAGAAUCUUCACCUCUGCCAACAAAGAAGCCUGGUGGAUAUUUGUUUACAGUCUGAUGAUGGGACAUCAUGCUCUGCAUCUUCAAAUCUUUUUGCAGGAUCAGAAAACAAAACCAGGAGACCUGUAAAUGUUUCUUCUCCAGUUGGAUGAUGAUAAGACUGUGACACGGGAUGCCACCUUUAGUCUUGUGAUGAAGCAAAGCUCAGGACGAAGUGUGAUUAAAUGGUACCCACAUGUGUGCUGCUGAGAAGGAUGUACAGGGGCACCUGCAGCCAAAUCCAAGCCGCCUCAGAGCAGAGCGGCAGUUUGUGCUCACAGAUGGUGACGGUGUGGAGAGACGGUGGUGUUUCCUCAGAAGAACUAGCAGAGUCACCAAGAGCACGAGUCCAUCUCACCACCUUGACUUGUUGAUCAGUGGAUACACUUGUCUCCCCUUUAAAGGAGACACUCUUAGAGAGAGACGAUCAGAGUCAUCCUUAAAUAUGGGCAGGAUAUCACUAUUAGACUGUCUAACCUGCCGGAGCAGCACUGAAUGAUCACCACACAUGAUCAGUUCCUGCAACAUUCAGCAGCUCUGCUUUUGUGUCAAAUGUCCAACAGCUGGAGAGGAAACUACACCAGUGUACUGGGAUGUUUCACCAACACGUGCCAGACGCUGUUCCUUCAUGGUGACAUCACCAGAGACGGCCCCGCCCACCUCAUGACCUCGCCAUUGAUCAUGAUGAUUUUAAUGAUGACAGCGAGCGGAACUAAAACUGUAAAAAUCAGAAUGUUUAGAUGCUUUCUAUUUAUUAAUGAAUACUGAGAGCCUCUUUCUGUGUUUUGUCUGUUUUGUUUUUUUUUACCUCAUUUGUUACUAACAAAGUUCAGCAAACUCAGUUUACAUUCUGUAUGUUUCCAUCUUUACCAGCCACAGUCUACCCGCAAUUAAGAAAAUAAUCCUUAGAAAUUGUCGUUUUUCUCUUUUGUAAUUUUGUAAUUCAGUGAAUAUACUGCGCUGCUUCCUUUAAUUGCGUCUCACAUUGCUUUAAGUUUUUCCAGUGUCCAGUUAUUUUUUACUGUUGUUUGAAUUCUCUGCAUGUUUGACCCUGUAGACUGUUUGAUGGACUGCUUGUCUUCCUGUU